UUCGACCUCAAAUCAGGUAGGACUACCCGCUGAACUUAAGCAUAUCAAUAAGCGGAGGAAAAGAAACCAACAGGGAUUGCCUUAGUAGCGGCGAGUGAAGCGGCAAAAGCUCAAAUUUGAAAUCUGGCACUUUCAGUGUCCGAGUUGUAAUUUGAAGAAGGUAUCUUUG
rnacentral:rRNA from 3 species